UAGAGUAUAGCUCAAACAAAGCAAUUCGCUUACACCGAAAAGAUGUCUAUUAAUCAAGACUACUCUAAG
rnacentral:tRNA from 1 species